rnacentral:rRNA from 1 species
UACGAAGGGGGCUAGCGUUGCUCGGAAUCACUGGGCGUAAAGGGUGCGUAGGCGGGUUUUUAAGUCAGAGGUGAAAUCCUGGAGCUCAACUCCAGAACUGCCUUUGAUACUGAGAAUCUUGAGUAUGGGAGAGGUGAGUGGAACUGCGAGUGUAGAGGUGAAAUUCGUAGAUAUUCGCAAGAACACCAGUGGCGAAGGCGGCUCACUGGCCCAUAACUGACGCUGAGGUGCGAAAGCGUGGGGAGCAAACAGG